UAUAAGUACAAUCAUAGGUUUUCACGUCAAAUUUUAAUCGUUUGUCUUAUUUGAAAAAUCUUUAUAAUUAGUAUUUUUAUUGUUAUGAGAUGAUAAAAUAUAAAUAGUAUUUUACUCGUGACUUAUGUUUUUAAAUUUUUUUAAAAAAAAUUUUCAAAUAAGACGGACGGUUAAAGUUAGGCGCGAAAAACCAUAACUGCACUUAUA
rfam:Oryza sativa Japonica Group DNA, chromosome 10, cultivar: Nipponbare, complete sequence.